UGUUAAAAACUUCAUCCAUUUUUACUGUUAAAAACUGAUGUGGUUGACGGAAUAACUAAAUAAUAACAUGUAACAUGCUACAUAUACCUCAUUUGAUGUACAAGGACAAUUUUUAAGAAUAGAAUUGGGUGGAAUUUUUAACA
rfam:Gossypium raimondii Chr06_contig_76, whole genome shotgun sequence.